AUGGGGGGCAGAGGGGGCAGGUUGGGGUGCUCAGCCCCAUUCCAUCCCCUCGCCCCAGGGCGCAGACAACCCAAACCUCUCCAAAAGCAUCCCCUCGGGGUGGGGGGACCCCAGCCAUGCAGGUGUCCCCCCCGUCCUCACCACUGGGGCCAGCCAGACCCAGGCCCCAAACCCUGCACCUUGUGCUCGGGGUCCGGCAGGAGCAGCUGGAGGGGAAACGAAGAAGAAAGAGGAAAGAAGGAGAUUGAUGUGCAGUUUCACGUUGCACCACAGCCACUUCAUUUUAUGCCCCAGCGACGCUGCGUCAGGUUCAGCAAAUUGCUGCGUCGCCUUCUCCUUCCCCUGCCAUUUCCCCCCCACACCGCAGCUCCCAUUUCAAGCUGGGACAAGAGGACAGGGGGCGGCCCUGAGGGGGUCCCCUGGGACCACCAGGAAGGAGCCCUGGCUCCAAGGGCGCAGCUCCAGCAGCCGAGGGUCCCGGCCUCGCUGUCCCGUUUCAUUUUGGCCACCCGCGUGCAGCAGUCGGGUUUUCCUCCUCCUCCUCCUGAGGGUCCCCCCAAAGAGCCCCGCACCCUGCAGCCAUCCCAUCCCGCUCCCCGCAGCCUCUCCGCUCACAGGACAGGAGCAGAAAGCCCAGGAGCUGCCAGCAGCCUGCCCCCCCCAGCCAGCUGGGGCACCCAGGGACCUGCCAGCGCUGUCCUCCACCCCCUGUGCCAGCAGGGAUGCCCACGGCCCCGCAGCCAAACCAGGGGCACCACGCGCCCUCUCCAGCUUUGGUCUACCCUUUCCCUCCACGUCCUGGCCCCGUCCCCAUCCCCAGGCACAGGGAGACCCUUCCCCAGGAGGGGGGUAAAUAGGGGCACACCAGUUUGGCACCAUCCCACCAGUGCCCCCAGAGCAGCCAGCACGCAUGGAUUACCCCACCCUGGGGGCUGCGCUUUGGGCAGGGGUCCGGGGAUGCUGCUGGUGCUGCUGGCUCGGUCUUCCCCAUUUUGCUCCAGGUCAAACCUCACCAAAACCCUUAUUAAAGAGCUCCUCUAA
rnacentral:lncRNA from 1 species